ACCUCUGAGUCACAAUAGAUGUCAGGUUCUUACCUCAUAGCAGAGAAUUCAAAAGAUAGUGGCCAGGUUGGUAUGAAAGACAGGGAGGCAGAUGUGCUGUUCUGGUGGUAAAAUCUUGAUUAUCGAGGGAUUGCCCCACCAACAGUCAUAAGAGACUACAUUUGGACUCCGUACUCUUUGUGGGGCUCAGAAACCAGAUAUUUUAGAGAGAGAUGUUGAAAUAUAGAAUUAAACACCAGACCUGACUAAUGGUUGGGGGGGAGGGGAGCUGGGAUGCAUGAGACGUGUGUGUCCUUGGAGACCAUAGCAACAUCUGGCAAUUAGCCAGCCAGAUACUUCGAGUCACUCACCCUCUUGUGGAACCAGUGACCACAGCCACUUUACCAGCUAGGGUACGAUUCUCAUCUGUUAAUUGGCUGAACUUUCUUGCUGAAAGAGGGACUGGUGCACAGAGAUAUCCCCUAAAGGCCCGUGGGAUAGACCUGAAUAUGGUAGCCAUUGAAGAAAGACCUGUGAAGAUAAUCAAUUAUGGACCAUGCUGGGACCUGCACUCUUUUGGAUCCUCCUCCAUGAAGUCUCUGACAGGUGUUCCACCAUCCUCCAAACUUUCCAGAAAAGUACAGAGCCCUUCAUGUCCUUGCUGUAAUCUAGACUCAAGGCAGACAUCCCCCAUCUUGAAUCACCAACACAGUACGUAGCCAGUACAUAGUGCUGGGAGCCCUGGGUAGAUGCCUGAGAUAUUUGCCUGAUCUGUUUUCAUUCCUCCAAUAAGGAUAAUCACUUACAGUAUGCUUCUUAGUAUCACUUUUGGAGGAUUUCUUACACACACCCUUUAUCCGAGCAUUGAAUUUUUCAUUUUCUUUGAAGGCUCGAACCCAGGGCCUAAUAUACAUUAGGUAGGUACUCUUGGCUACUUCCCAAGCCCUUGAGCAUCGAACUGGUUUCUUCUCAGUAUCUUCAAUUUCCAACCAAUCCUUUCUCUCUUACAAUCUCCUCUCCCCUCAGGUUCCCCCACAAAGCAACAUCCGUUUGUCAGGGAUAGACAACUUACAGCAUGUCUAACAAGCAAGUUGUGUCCCUCAACACAGCUCUCCCACUCAGCUCUGUGGAAAGCCCAGCCAAUCACUCCUUUUCUGUUCAGAACCCUAUGACCAGGCUUCCAGGCUUCCUUCUUUACCCUUCCCUCCUCCUGACCCCAAAUCACACCUCCUAGACUCCUCUGCCCCAAAAGCCCAUGACACCUUGUCAUUUUAACUGCAUUAGCAAUACCUCAACUCUGACGCCACCUCUCAGGCCAGACCUUUCAUCUCAAACCCUGCCCCAUGAUUCUUAAUCUUCAUUGUCAGUUCAAUUGGGUUGAGAAGUGCCUCUGGAACUUAGGGGCUUACCCAUGGAUGUAUCUAUGAAGGUGUUUCCAGAGAGGAUUACCGGGAAGGAGGUGCCGUGAGCGAGAUUUCUCCACUGAAUAGAGGAAAAAGAGAAAGUUGGAUGAGUCUCUGCAUCCUGAGGCACUGACUGGGUGUCUCAGGUCCCCUGCCAGGGCCCCUCCACUGUGACAGACUGUAUCCCUUUUUUUUUUCUUUUUUUCGGAGCUGGGGACCGAACCCAGGGCCUUGUGUUUGCUAGGCAAGCGCUCUACCACUGAGCUAAAUCCCCAACCCCGACUGUAUCCCUUCUUAAACUCUGAGCUAAAACAAAUCCCCACUCCAGUGCUCGGCUCCUGUCGGUUAUGUCGCCAAAAUGGAGAAAACUGAUGAACACAUUCGCUUGCCGCAUAGUAAGAAAAAACAACCAUUCUUCAGUCCAGCUCCCUCAGAAGUGCACAGACAAGUGGUUGUUUGGAAGGCAGUUUUGGGAAGUAAAGUUAAAAUUGGAGUGAAGUAGAUGAGAGGAAAGAGAAAAGAUCCUAAGGAAAAGUUCAUGAUCGUGUACAUGUAGCAGACCUCUAUGGGCCUCUACAGUCCAUCUCUGCUGAGGAACUCCACGCCACUGACUCAACUGUCAGUGGGAAGCCAGGAAACUGAUGGCUUAGGUUGGACAAACAUUGGAAGUGCCUACAGGACAUCAGGGUUUAACACUGAAGUCUGCAUUCUAGAGAACUCAUGAAUCCCGUACAAACCAGGAGAGGCAAGUUUCAUCUUGUUUAUCUCAAGGAGUGUUGGGGAAUAAAUCGUGUCAUCUUACAAAUCAUGUGGAGACUUUACCCUCCAGGGCCUUGGGUGUCACCACACUUGAAGAUGAAGCCAUUAAAGACAUGAUCGUGUUGAAAUAAUGUUAUAGGAGAAUAAUGAGACAAUCUGACUGGCAUCAUCAGAAGGGGAACUUUAGUUACACCAAAAGGACAGUAGAGAUUUGUGUAGGCCACAUGAAGACAAUGACAAGAUGGCCAUCUGCAAGUCACUGAGAGGUAUCAGGAGAGAUUGUGGAUUUACAGGUUUUCUGUGGUUUAAGACACUUUGUCACAAAAUCCUAGUAAAUUAAUGUAACAACGACAAAGGAAAAAAAUCCAAUGAUUUUCUGUGAUAUCAUAUCCCUCAACUCUCCUUUUACUAGCAGAUACAUACGUAAGAAGCUGUGAACUUCCAGGAAAAAAUAUCUGUAGAAAAACAGAAAUAAAAAACAAAACCCGAGAGUUCGGAAAUGUAGUUCAAUGGAAGAGUGAGUGCUUGUCAGCAAAUGCAAGGCCCUGGCUGCGUCACCAGCACGACGGGGAAGAGAAACCAAAGAGAUGACUCCACAAGCUUCAGAUCCAUCAAUUUCUGGAGCACAAAGGUGUUGGUAAAGCAAAUAAAAGAGGUGGGGCUUCCUCGGUGCAGCAGUGGCACCUGAGAACAACCGAGGCCACAUAAGACAACCA